rfam:Schistosoma haematobium scaffold105_19, whole genome shotgun sequence.
AACCUUCUGUAUCCGUGCUGAGAUUUUGUCACACACUGGACCACAAGGAUUGGUGAAACUCCCAAGAUAAGUGAAGCG